rnacentral:rRNA from 1 species
UACGGAGGGUGCGAGCGUUGUCCGGAAUCACUGGGCGUAAAGGGCGCGUAGGUGGCGCGGAAAGUCAACGGUGAAAGCUCGGGGCUCAACCCUGAAUCGGCCGUCGAUACUGCUGCGCUUGAGCACUGUAGAGGCAGAUGGAAUUCCGGGUGUAGCGGUGGAAUGCGUAGAGAUCCGGAAGAACACCGGUGGCGAAGGCGGUCUGCUGGGCAGUAGCUGACACUGAGGCGCGACAGCGUGGGGAGCAAACAGG